rnacentral:rRNA from 1 species
UACGUAGGGUGCGAGCGUUGUCCGGAAUUAUUGGGCGUAAAGAGCUUGUAGGCGGUUUGUCGCGUCUGCUGUGAAAUCCCAGGGCUUAACCCUGGGCUUGCAGUGGGUACGGGCAGACUAGAGUGUGGUAGGGGAGACUGGAAUUCCUGGUGUAGCGGUGAAAUGCGCAGAUAUCAGGAGGAACACCGAUGGCGAAGGCAGGUCUCUGGGCCACUACUGACGCUGAGAAGCGAAAGCAUGGGUAGCGAACAGG